rnacentral:rRNA from 1 species
UGGGCGCAAGCCUGAUGGAGCAACACCGCGUGAGUGAAGAAGGGUUUCGGCUCGUAAAGCUCUGUUGUUGGAGAAGAACGUGCGUGAGAGUAACUGUUCACGCAGUGACGGUAUCCAACCAGAAAGUCACGGCUAACUACGUGCCAGCAGCCGCGGUAAUACGUAGGUGGCAAGCGUUAUCCGGAUUUAUUGGGCGUAAAGCGAGCGCAGGCGGUUGCUUAGGUCUGAUGUGAAAGCCUUCGGCUUAACCGAAGAAGUGCAUCGGAAACCGGGCGACUUGAGUGCAGAAGAGGACAGUGGAACUCCAUGUGUAGCGGUGGAAU